rnacentral:lncRNA from 1 species
GUUACUGCUCUUGGUAUGGUUGGCAAAGCUUGGAUUGCUCAAAUGCGGAGUUUGAACAGGCGAAUUUAGCUUGAGACCCGCCCUUUGUUGCUUAUUCGGGUAACGAUUUGUAUAAUGUUCAUUCCAGUUACUAUGCAACAUCCUUCAUUACCAGUCCUGGAGAGUUUCCCAUGGUUCUUGUUCCACUUUGGGUAGGGUGGAGUCCCAUACUUGUUAUCCCCCAUCUGUUUUGAGGUGUCAUAGCCACGUUGCUGGGACGUCUGCCCCUGCCAUGACCCUUUUCUUAGCUUGGCCAGGGUUACUAUAUCCCAUUCUCUUUUUCUUUCUCAAAAGUUUUUUUUUUUUUUUUUUUUUUUUUUUUUU